UAAGCGUGGGGCUAAUCCUAAAGUCUCAUUUCGCAAAACGGGAAGCAUGAAUUCAUAUCUCUCACUUGUCGCUAUCACCCAAGACUCCGACAUGCAUCGUUCGAUCUUUAUAUUUUGUUGGUAUUCGUAGGAAGCCCCAACGAUGGCAUUCAAAUCAAAACUACUAUGGUGCGCCAAGAUCCAGGAAACCUAAUUAUCCCAUCAUGUUGGCACAGAAGAACAAAGCAGGGCAACCUCUGCAAGUCUGGGAAAGGAAGAUUUAAAAGUGAACGGUAUUUAGGACACAAACGACAAACCGCCGUAGCCAAAAACUAAUUUAAGCAUCAGCUUUUGGGUUGUACAGUGGAAGUCAUGAUUAAGGUACUGUUCCCCAUACUGCUUGUUAA